rnacentral:misc_RNA from 1 species
CAAGGAUUGGUCGCGUAGGGUCAUUCAUUAUUUUAUUUUCGGCAAUCCACGCGAGAUGUGAUCACCUAAACUUAUUUUUUUUGUUCGUUGGGUGAGUUUGUUUUCUUUCUUUUGUCACUAGGCGUGAGACCAUAUUUCUUAAAUUUUAAUAUUAAUAAUGGCGUCUCCAUAACUAUGACUGCCAUCGUUAUUUAAAAAUGCAAUCGUCUUAUCCGCUUAUUAAAAGUUAUUAAAAAUUAUUUAAAUGUUCCGAAUUGAUAACAAGAUUACCCUGAGGGUAGGAGGUUCAAAUGAUUUGAACCAACAUGCCUAUGCUGUGAUAAGUUUCAUAAUUUUUUCUCUCUGGAGUUUAUUUUGUAACGUUUAUUUAUAUAAAAACAAAUAAAACUUAGAUUCCAAUAUCACUAAUACUGUGAAAUCUUUUCACAGGUUUUUUUUUUUUAUAUAUUUUUUAGGGGUUUAGUUAUUCUAGAUAUAUUUUUUUUUAACAAUACUGGAAGCAUACUUAGUCAAAACAUAUAUUGAUUCAUGGCAUUAUUCUGUAAUACUGCAAAGAAUGGGAUGUCGAUGAUGUUCAUCAUGAUCCAAGAGAUCCAAUUAUUGAGACGCUAGCAAACAGAUGGACUCUUAUCGACUAUCGCCUAUCACUACAGGCGAUAUCCAGAACAUAUCCGGUAUUGUGCUAUUUAUUUUCAGUUACAUAGAAAUUUAAAGACUAAAAGUAGUGAAUUGUGUAUAAUAUAUAUAGUGAUUUAUAAAUAGCAAGUAGUGUAUAAAUUUUGGUAUUCUAAAUUAUUAUUGAAUCUGGUAAAUGUUUCUUUUUAGUUAAAUUUAGUAUAUUAAGUAACUCUUUGGAAAAAUAAUUUAUUGUAGAACCACCCUCUUUUUCUUUUGUUUUGUAGCUUAACUAUAUUUCACCUUUU